rnacentral:rRNA from 1 species
GUCUAUGGCCAUGCCACCCCGAACAAGCCCGAUGUCUGAUCUCGGAAGCUAAGCAGGGUCAGGCCUGGUUAGUAUUUAGAUGGGAGACCACCUAGGAAGAUCAGGUGCUGUAAGCA